rnacentral:rRNA from 1 species
GUUGAACGCUGGCGGCAGGCCUAAUACAUGCAAGUCGAACGGUGUCUUCGGACAUAGUGGCGCACGGGUGCGUAACACGUAUGCAACCUACCUUACAUUGGGGGAUAGCCUUUCGAAAGGGAGAUUAAUACCGCAUAAGACAGUAGCUGGGCAUCCAGCAGCUGUUAAAGAUUUAUCGAUGUAAGCUGGGCAUGCGUCCAAUUAGCUAGUUGGUGAGGUAACGGCUCACCAAGGCAAUGAUUGGUAGGGGAACUGAGAGGUCAAUCCCCCACCUUGGCACUGAGAUACGGGCCAGACUCCUACGGGAGGCAGCAGUAGGGAAUAUUGGGCAAUGGAAGCAAGUCUGACCCAGCCAUGCCGCGUGCAGGAUGAAGGCGUUAUGCGUUGUAAACUGCUUUUAUACAGGAAGAAACGACUCUUGCGAGAGGCAUUGACGGUACUGUAUGAAUAAGCACCGGCUAACUCCGUGCCAGCCGCCGCAGUAAAAC